CUCACAAGACAAAGAAUACCACCUAAUCUGUGAAACAAGGCAGAGGUAUGGUGUUAUGUUUUGGGCAUUUAUGGCUGCCAUGAAAUGGCCUACUUGUCUUAAUUGAUGACGUCACUUCUAACAGCAGCAGGAAGAGGAAUAUUUGACAUUGUAGCAGUCGAUCCGCCUGAGAGGAGGAUUGGUCUCGGCUGCGCCGGCUGGUGGAGAGGGCACACGCACCUGGGCUGCGUUAGCUAAUCAGCCCAGGUGCUUAAAGGUGUGCUGCUCUCCACAGUUCGGGGCUGAGACCGGGAGCCGAGACGCAGUUAUGAUUUUCAUUUCGUUUUAUUUUGAGCACAAAAGAAGAAGGAAGCAAUCCUCAGCUGAAAAGUUGGAGGAGCUGGACCUGGCCGGGAAGGUGGGUCAGCUACAGAGCAGAAACUGUGUUCCCCGGUACUGUCGCAUCUCCCUGCCUGGUGUGUCACAUUGGUGUGUGACAGACGUGUACAGAAACAUCUUAUCUUCUCAGAUCCAACCAAAUGCUGCAAAGCUCACUGGAUGGUGCUGCUAAAGCAACCAAGUUUUUAAGGCCAAAAAGUGGAUAGUGUUCUUCACUGGCUAAGACAAUCACCUGACCUGAAUCCCAAUGAACAUGCAUUUCACUGGCUAAAGACAAGACUGAGGGCAAAAAUCCCAGAAACAAACAGGAACUGAAGAUGGCUGCAGUACAGGCCUGGCAGAGCAUCACCAGGGAAGAUACCCACCAUCUGGUGAUAUCCAUGGGUCACAGACUUCAGGCACCCAUCAGCUGAAAAAGAUUUUCAACCAAGUAGUAAAUAUGACAGCUUUAUUUAAGGCUAUGUAAAUUUGUCUAAUUACUGUUGGUCCCCUUAAAAGGGGGGACUGUGUAUAAAAAGGGCUGUAAUUUCUACAUGGAUCACUGGAUAUGCAAUUAAUAAAUACCAUUAAAUUAAAGUUGACAGUCCGCAGUUAAACCUAGCCACUGCUUCCUUUCAAAUCCAAUGUGAUGGAGUACAGAGCAACAAAACAACAAAAAUUGUGUCACUGUCCCGAUACUUUUGCAUUUAACUAUGCUCAUCUGUUCUCUGUUCCAUCCAAACAUCUGCAUUUUGCUGUAGUUCAUCUGAAUCUUUAUGUAAACGAAAGCGUUAAAUAUUCUGAUGACUAAUGAUUACAGA